CCUGAUGACCAUAGCGAGUCGGUCCCACCCCUUCCCAUCCCGAACAGGACCGUGAAACGACUCUACGCCGAUGAUAGUGCGGAUUUAUCGGCCGCUGCCCUGC
rnacentral:rRNA from 1 species